rnacentral:rRNA from 1 species
AGAGUUUGAUCCUGGCUCAGGACGAACGCUGGCGGCGGGCCUAACACAUGCAAGUCUAAGGAGAAUUUCGGAGCAAUCUGAAAGGACACUGGCGCACGGGUGAGUAACGCGUAGGUAACCUACCUUCUGCUGGGGGAUAACAUCGGGAAACCGGUGCUAAUACCGCAUAAUGCAGCGGUCACGCAUGUGGCAGUUGUUAAAGAAUUUCGGCAGAAGAUGGGCCUGCGUGUCAUUAGUUAGUUGGUAAGGUAACGGCUUACCAAGACGAUGAUGACUAGGGGGUCUGAGAGGAUGAUCCCCCACACUGGAACUGAGACACGGUCCAGACUCCUACGGGAGGCAGCAGUGAGGAAUCUUGCGCAAUGGGGGAAACCCUGACGCAGCCACGCCGCGUGCCAGAUGAAGGCCCUACGGGUCGUAAAUGGCUUUUGGUCGGGAAGAUAAGCCGGGUUUCGACCUGGUGUGACGGUACCGACUGAAUAAGCACCGGCUAACUCCGUGCCAGCAGCCGCGGUAAUACGGAGGGUGCAAGCGUUGUCCGGAAUCAUUGGGUGUAAAGGGUGCGUAGGCGGAUGCCUAAGUCUGGGGUGAAAUCUUGCAGCUUAACUGUAAAAUUGCCUUGGAUACUGGGUGUCUUGAGUACAGAAGAGGAUGGUGGAAUUCGUAGUGUAGCGGUGAAAUGCAUAGAUAUUACGAAGAACACCGGUGGCGAAAGCGGCCAUCUGGUCUGUUACUGACGCUGAGGCACGAAAGCGUGGGGAGCGAACAGGAUUAGAUACCCUGGUAGUCCACGCCGUAAACGAUGUGUGCUAGUUGUUGGCCUGUAUGGGCCAGUGACGUAGUUAACGCGCUAAGCACACCACCUGGGGAGUACGUUCGCAAGAAUGAAACUCAAAGGAAUUGACGGGGGCCCGCACAAGCGGUGGAGCAUGUGGCUUAAUUCGAUGCAACGCGAAGAACCUUACCUGGGCUAAAUCAUAGUGGAAAUAGCUAGAAAUAGCUAUGCCUUCGGGCC